AUUGAACGCUGGCGGCAUGCUUUACACAUGCAAGUCGAACGGCAGCGCGGGCUUCGGCCUGGCGGCGAGUGGCGAACGGGUGAGUAAUGCAUCGGAACGUGCCCAGUAGUGGGGGAUAGCCCGGCGAAGGCCGGAUUAAUACCGCAUACGACCUGAGGGUGAAAGCGGGGGACCGAAAGGCCUCGCGCUAUUGGAGCGGCCGAGGUCGGAUUAGCUAGUUGGUGGGGUAAAGGCUUACCAAGGCGACGAUCCGUAGCUGGUCUGAGAGGACGACCAGCCACACUGGGACUGAGACACGGCCCAGACUCCUACGGGAGGCAGCAGUGGGGAAUUUUGGACAAUGGGGGCAACCCUGAUCCAGCCAUGCCGCGUGCGGGAAGAAGGCCUUCGGGUUGUAAACCGCUUUUGUUCGGGAAGAAAUCCUCUGGGCUAAUACCCCGGGGGGAUGACGGUACCGGAAGAAUAAGCACCGGCUAACUACGUG
rnacentral:rRNA from 1 species